rnacentral:rRNA from 1 species
UACGGGGGGGGCAAGCGUUGUUCGGAAUUACUGGGCGUAAAGGGCUCGUAGGUGGCCAACUAAGUCAGACGUGAAAUCCCUCGGCUUAACCGGGGAACUGCGUCUGAUACUGGAUGGCUAGAGUUUGGGAGAGGGAUGCGGAAUUCCAGGUGUAGCGGUGAAAUGCGUAGAUAUCUGGAGGAACACCGGUGGCGAAGGCGGCAUCCUGGACCAACACUGACACUGAUGAGCGAAAGCCAGGGGAGCAAACGGG